rnacentral:lncRNA from 1 species
GCCACGUGACCCCAGAAAUAGAGGAAUAGCUAAGGAAUGAGCUGAAAGAAGCAAACAUGGACUUUGUCUUCGCUGGCUCAGGAACUGGGCCUUCCCUAAGUCUCACAGUGGAAACCUGAGCCCAACUGCAAGUCCCGUCAGCAGAGAGGACACAGAAGACGCUUCCCCAGCCGGCGGCAUCAGCACGAUCCAAGGACUGGACGAGACCAGAGACGGGAGGGUGAGACACUCUGAUCGUGAGGAAGUGACUCAUCCACUCAGCCUCAGUGCCCUCACCUGUAAAAUGGGGCUAGCCCCUACCUCUGAGGGUUGUUGUGUGAGGCAGAUGACGUGUUAUGGAGAUGCCAACUAUUGUGGUUACUGUACAGAGGGAGAAACUGAGGCACAGAGCAUGUAAGCUCAUGCGCUGAAUUAGUGAUGGGACGAGGACUAGAAGGAGCCGGCUGAACUGCAGAGGAAGGAGCUCUGCCACUUGCUGCCUCAGUUUCCUCAUCUGUAAAAUGAGGAGGUUCGCCUGGGUAACUUCCAAGGUCUCAUCUUGGGUGAGUCUCCUGGCUCACAGCCCAGAGGCCCUCUCCCUGGUCCAGAGUCCUCCUGGGUAGCUGGCUGGUGGCACCAAGUGAAGGCUUGGCCCUGCCAAGACCUAGAGGGUGGCACUGCUGAGUGAGACAGGCCUCAUUCCUCCCUCCUCGCAGGCUUUGUCUCAGUGAUUAUAGCCAGGACCCUCGUGACACAGAGGGCAUCCCUUUGUAUCAGCUGAGGCUUGGGCAGCUUGGCCGUCCUGGGGGCAGCUGGUGCAUUCCAUCUAGCCUUCCUUUUUUCUUUUCUUUUCUUUUCUUUUUUUUAUUAAUUUCUUUUGAUUUAUCAACAAUCACUUCCAUGUGCUUUUGAGUUUAAAAUUUUUCUCCCUCUUCCUCCCCACCACCCCUCCCCAAGAUUGCUUUCAAUCUGAUAUAGGCUACAUAUACAUUUCUAUUAAAUGUAUUUUCACAUUAGUGAUGUUGUAAGGAAGAAUUAGAAGCAAUAGGAGGAACCACCAGAAAGAGGAAACAAAACUCAACAGAAGAGAAAAAACAACAGCAAAUAGUGUGCUUUGAUGGGCAUCCAAUUCCAUAGUUCUUUCUUUGGAUGUGGAGAGCAUUUUCCAUCACGAGGCCUUUGGAGACGUCUUAGAUCCUUGUAUUGCUCAGAAGGGUUCAGUUUAUCAGUAUUAGUCAUCACACAACGUGGCUGUUAUUUAUUGUGUACAGCUUUUUUUUUUUAAAGCAAUUGGG